GGGUUGUGAGGUUAAGCGACUAAGCGUACACGGUGGAUGCCCUGGCAGUCAGAGGCGAUGAAGGACGUGCUAAUCUGCGAUAAGCGUCGGUAAGGUGAUAUGAACCGUUAUAACCGGCGAUUUCCGAAUGGGGAAACCCAGUGUGAUUCGUCACACUAUCAUUAACUGAAUCCAUAGGUUAAUGAGGCGAACCGGGGGAACUGAAACAUCUAAGUACCCCGAGGAAAAGAAAUCAACCGAGAUUCCCCCAGUAGCGGCGAGCGAACGGGGAGCAGCCCAGAGCCUGAAUCAGUGUGUGUGUUAGUGGAAGCGUCUGGAAAGGCGUGCGAUACAGGGUGACAGCCCCGUACACAAAAAUGCACAUACUGUGAGCUCGAUGAGUAGGGCGGGACACGCGGUAUCCUGUCUGAAUAUGGGGGGACCAUCCUCCAAGGCUAAAUACUCCUGACUGACCGAUAGUGAACCAGUACCGUGAGGGAAAGGCGAAAAGAACCCCGGCGAGGGAGUGAAAAAGAACCUGAAACCGUGUACGUACAAGCAGUGGGAGCACGCUUAGGCGUGUGACUGCGUACCUUUUGUAUAAUGGGUCAGCGACUUAUAUUCUGUAGCAAGGUUAACCGAAUAGGGGAGCCGAAGGGAAACCGAGUCUUAACUGGGCGUUAAGUUGCAGGGUAUAGACCCGAAACCCGGUGAUCUAGCCAUGGGCAGGUUGAAGGUUGGGUAACACUAACUGGAGGACCGAACCGACUAAUGUUGAAAAAUUAGCGGAUGACUUGUGGCUGGGGGUGAAAGGCCAAUCAAACCGGGAGAUAGCUGGUUCUCCCCGAAAGCUAUUUAGGUAGCGCCUCGUGAAUUCAUCUCCGGGGGUAGAGCACUGUUUCGGCAAGGGGGUCAUCCCGACUUACCAACCCGAUGCAAACUGCGAAUACCGGAGAAUGUUAUCACGGGAGACACACGGCGGGUGCUAACGUCCGUCGUGAAGAGGGAAACAACCCAGACCGCCAGCUAAGGUCCCAAAGUCAUGGUUAAGUGGGAAACGAUGUGGGAAGGCCCAGACAGCCAGGAUGUUGGCUUAGAAGCAGCCAUCAUUUAAAGAAAGCGUAAUAGCUCACUGGUCGAGUCGGCCUGCGCGGAAGAUGUAACGGGGCUAAACCAUGCACCGAAGCUGCGGCAGCGACGCUUAUGCGUUGUUGGGUAGGGGAGCGUUCUGUAAGCCUGUGAAGGUGUGCUGUGAGGUAUGCUGGAGGUAUCAGAAGUGCGAAUGCUGACAUAAGUAACGAUAAAGCGGGUGAAAAGCCCGCUCGCCGGAAGACCAAGGGUUCCUGUCCAACGUUAAUCGGGGCAGGGUGAGUCGACCCCUAAGGCGAGGCCGAAAGGCGUAGUCGAUGGGAAACAGGUUAAUAUUCCUGUACUUGGUGUUACUGCGAAGGGGGGGACGGAGAAGGCUAUGUUGGCCGGGCGACGGUUGUCCCGGUUUAAGCGUGUAGGCUGGUUUUCCAGGCAAAUCCGGAAAAUCAAGGCCGAGGCGUGAUGACGAGGCACUACGGUGCUGAAGCAACAAAUGCCCUGCUUCCAGGAAAAGCCUCUAAGCAUCAGGUAACAUCAAAUCGUACCCCAAACCGACACAGGUGGUCAGGUAGAGAAUACCAAGGCGCUUGAGAGAACUCGGGUGAAGGAACUAGGCAAAAUGGUGCCGUAACUUCGGGAGAAGGCACGCUGAUACGUAGGUGAAGCGACUUGCUCGUGGAGCUGAAAUCAGUCGAAGAUACCAGCUGGCUGCAACUGUUUAUUAAAAACACAGCACUGUGCAAACACGAAAGUGGACGUAUACGGUGUGACGCCUGCCCGGUGCCGGAAGGUUAAUUGAUGGGGUUAGCGCAAGCGAAGCUCUUGAUCGAAGCCCCGGUAAACGGCGGCCGUAACUAUAACGGUCCUAAGGUAGCGAAAUUCCUUGUCGGGUAAGUUCCGACCUGCACGAAUGGCGUAAUGAUGGCGAGGCUGUCUCCACCCGAGACUCAGUGAAAUUGAACUCGCUGUGAAGAUGCAGUGUACCCGCGGCAAGACGGAAAGACCCCGUGAACCUUUACUAUAGCUUGACACUGAACAUUGAGCCUUGAUGUGUAGGAUAGGUGGGAGGCUUUGAAGUGUGGACGCCAGUCUGCAUGGAGCCGACCUUGAAAUACCACCCUUUAAUGUUUGAUGUUCUAACGUGGACCCGUAAUCCGGGUUGCGGACAGUGUCUGGUGGGUAGUUUGACUGGGGCGGUCUCCUCCUAAAGAGUAACGGAGGAGCACGAAGGUUGGCUAAUCCUGGUCGGACAUCAGGAGGUUAGUGCAAUGGCAUAAGCCAGCUUGACUGCGAGCGUGACGGCGCGAGCAGGUGCGAAAGCAGGUCAUAGUGAUCCGGUGGUUCUGAAUGGAAGGGCCAUCGCUCAACGGAUAAAAGGUACUCCGGGGAUAACAGGCUGAUACCGCCCAAGAGUUCAUAUCGACGGCGGUGUUUGGCACCUCGAUGUCGGCUCAUCACAUCCUGGGGCUGAAGUAGGUCCCAAGGGUAUGGCUGUUCGCCAUUUAAAGUGGUACGCGAGCUGGGUUUAGAACGUCGUGAGACAGUUCGGUCCCUAUCUGCCGUGGGCGCUGGAGAACUGAGGGGGGCUGCUCCUAGUACGAGAGGACCGGAGUGGACGCAUCACUGGUGUUCGGGUUGUCAUGCCAAUGGCACUGCCCGGUAGCUAAAUGCGGAAGAGAUAAGUGCUGAAAGCAUCUAAGCACGAAACUUGCCCCGAGAUGAGUUCUCCCUGACCCUUUAAGGGUCCUGAAGGAACGUUGAAGACGACGACGUUGAUAGGCCGGGUGUGUAAGCGCAGCGAUGCGUUGAGCUAACCGGUACUAAUGAACCGUGAGGCUUAACCUUACAACGCCGAAG
rnacentral:rRNA from 1 species